UUAUGUAUUAUAUAAAGUGAGUAAACAUGAAAAAAAAAAAGGUGUUUCCAUGAAAAAUGAAUUGAAUGCUUUGGAAAUACUUGAUGAAGGCAGAUUGCUAAAAGAAAUUGCUGAUGAGUUAGGUAUAGGCAAGACAACAGUAAAAAACUGCUUUGGUGGGUGGGACUAAAAAAUCUAGAAAUGUUAUGCGUUUUAUAACAUUAUACAUUUAUCUCAAGUGUAUUAAGGAACUCAUUUUACUUAAGGAGACAAUUUGGAAAUCACAGAUGAUGUGUUAAAGGUGCAGCUUAUCAAAGAAAGUCAGCAGAACUCUACUCAGAAGACCCUCACUAAGAAAAAGCCCUGGUCCACAUCAAAAGAUUUGUGAAUGUAUGUAUAUUUAUUUACAAAUUUUAAAAAGAUGCUUAGGGAUUGUGUCUUUUUUCUUUUUUAAGAAUCUCUGCUGUAACUGACUUCUGGGGCUGACUGGUCCAAUUACCACAGAUAAGAACGUGUCCCCACCAUACUUGCCUGUUUCUCUUGGGCUGUUAGCAAAAUGGGUUUAUAUCCCCUUGGUCCAAGCUGACCAGGUAGCAGAGAAGGCUGACCUGGGGUUUUCUAAAAUAGACCCAUUAUAUGUCUCUCAAACAAAAUGCAGGUGGAAUUGUAGCCAUACUUCCAGAGACGGAGAUGCUAACCUUUGUAAGCGUGAGCUGCACACUGCCUACUCAUAGCCUGGAGCAUGGGCCACGAGAUGAAGUAUGCCCCAAAGGCCAGGCCAGCCUUGGUCACAGCUCUGGACACAGCUUGUUUGUUGAUUCAAGCAUCUCAUGUUCCAACCUGGCAUGUGAUGUCAUCUCUGCAAGGAGAAAUGUCUCAGAUGAUGUUUCAUGGAGAAAAGUCCUAAGUAUCAAGGAGGAGCGAGAUCUAUUCCCAGAACCCCUUGAUAGUCAGUCUAAUACACUUCUGUUAAUUUGCACAGAAUACUGGAUUUCUGUCCCACAUAACAAGAUACCAGGCACUGAAACUGAACCAACAUCAUUAACUUCCCACCAGCGCUUUAUGCCAUCAAGAUGCAAUCUGUCAAGGGAGGCAGCACGGCGCCUCAUGUCACAAGAAGUCUGCGGGAACAGAAGACCGGGUGAAAAGCGAGGCUGCAGCAGUUUCAGCCUCUUGACAAUAUUUUUAAAAGAACUUAUUUACCAUACAGAGGAGCUCACUGAUGGAGGAGAGAAAAGUAUCAACCCUUUUUUUUCCUUGAAAGACAAGGGAAUGGUUCAAGAGGAGAGAAAAGAACAGGGAAAGCCUUUGCAUAUUGAGAGCUGA
rnacentral:lncRNA from 1 species